UUUUAGCCCCGGGAGUAGCGGCAUCCUUUUGUAGUGAUGGGUUCUAAACCCAUUACUACAAAAGAUAUAGCGAAUCACGGGACGAUGC
rnacentral:sRNA from 1 species